rfam:Ipomoea nil DNA, scaffold: scaffold2441, cultivar: Tokyo-kokei standard.
GUCAAUAUGUCCGAGUGGUUAAGGAGAUAGACUUGAAAUCUAUUGGGCUUUGCCUGCGCAGGUUCAAAUCCUGCUGUUGACG